CGGAAUUAUUUCAUAAAAAACUACGAUUUACAGUUUUUAAAACAUAUGGUUUUAAAUAUUAGCUGUACAGUGCUGCGAUCAAAAUUUAUUGCAAACAAACAACUAAAAGAUUAAUGUUGCCAUAAAUCAGCGUGAAAAAAUGUUUCCACCUUUCCAGAAUUGCAAUGAAAAUGAUUCACCCGAAGAAUGCUACGAAUAUCCAUUGCAAAAACGAGAAGCAUGAUUAAUAUGAGUUCGAUUAGCACAAAUGUGGUGAAAUAAAUAAGAAUUAAGUGAAACCAUAAUCAAUAAAGGCAGGAGAAAGACACACAUACACAUAUAUAGAAAUCAUAAUUUACCACGAAAGAGUGCUUUACUCUUAACUUAUAAAGUCAAAAAUUACGC